rnacentral:ncRNA from 1 species
CUUCCAUCCUUCCCGCACAGAAGGAUGGAGCGAGGCCGGGGCGCUCUCUGCCCUGACUGCGCCAGGCCUCAUGGUCGGCUCUCACGGGCCGCGGGAACCGCACACCCGCGCGCCACGGGCCGACGGCAGCUCCGGGCUGCGGUGCUGGGCGGGUUGAGGGUCCCGUCCCGGCGC